UGGGGAAUAUUGGACAAUGGGGGGAACCCUGAUCCAGCCAUGCCGCGUGUGUGAAGAAGGCCUUAUGGUUGUAAAGCACUUUAAGCGAGGAGGAGGGUACUGGUAUUAAUACUACCAGCUACUGGACGUUACUCGCAGAAUAAGCACCGGCUAACUUUUUGCCAGCAGCCGCGGUAAUACAGAGGGUGCGAGUGUUAAUCGGAUUUACUGGGCGUAAAGCCUGCGUAGGCGGCUAAUUGAGUCGGAUGUGAAAUCCCCGAGCUUAACUUGGGAAUUGCAUUCGAUACUGGUUAGCUAGAGUGUGGGAGAGGAUGGUAGAAUUCCAGGUGUAGCGGUGAAAUGCGUAGAGAUAUGGAGGAAUACCGAUGGCGAAGGCAGCCAUCUGGCCUAACACUGACGCUGAGGUACGAAAGCAUGGGGAGCAAACAGG
rnacentral:rRNA from 1 species